CCUACGGGAGGCAGCAGUGGGGAAUAUUGGACAAUGGGCGCAAGCCUGGUCCAGCCAUGCCGCGUGAGUGAUGAAGGCCCUAGGGUUGUAAAGCUCUUUUGUGCGGGAAGAUAAUGACGGUACCGCAAGAAUAAGCCCCGGCUAACUUCGUGCCAGCAGCCGCGGUAAUACGAAGGGGGCUAGCGUUGCUCGGAAUCACUGGGCGUAAAGGGUGCGUAGGCGGGUCUUUAAGUCAGGGGUGAAAUCCUGGAGCUCAACUCCAGAACUGCCUUUGAUACUGAAGAUCUUGAGUUCGGGAGAGGUGAGUGGAACUGCGAGUGUAGAGGUGAAAUUCGUAGAUAUUCUCAAGAACACCAGUGGCGAAGGCGGCUCACUGGCCCGAUACUGACGCUGAGGCACGAAAGCGUGGGGAGCAAACAGGAUUAGAUACCCUGGUAUUCCACGCCUUAAACGAUGAAUGCCAACCGUUAUUGGGUUUACUCACUAGUGGCGCAUCUAACGCUCUAAGCA
rnacentral:rRNA from 1 species